rnacentral:rRNA from 1 species
UGUGUAUCAGUACAUGGCAUAUCAAUAAGCGGAGGAAAAGAAACUAACUAGGAUCCCCUUAGUAACGGCGAGUGAAGCGGGAAGAGCUCAAAUUUGAAAUCUUCAAGGUUCUACCUUGACGAAUUGUAGUUUAAAGAAGUGUUUUCUGUUGGAGUUUUGGUAAAAGUUCUUUGGAAUAGGACAUCAUAGAGAGUGAGAAUCCCGUAUUUGACCAUUUCUUCCAGCUGUGUGAUACACUUUCAAAGAGUCGGAUUGUUUGGGAAUGCAGUCCAAAAUGGGUGGUAAAUUUCAUCUAAAGCUAAAUAUUGGCGAGAGACCGAUAGCGAACAAGUACCGUGAGGGAAAGAUGAAAAGAACUUUGAAAAGAGAGUUAAACAGUACGUGAAAUUGUCAAAAGGGAAGCGUUUGACACCAGUGUUGUUUUCUCGAAAAUCAAUUAAAAAUGACCGGAUUUUGUGUUGUAUUGACUUUAUCAGCUUUCUGCACUUUUUUCUUGUCUUUUUUAAUGCACUUUUCGUUUAACAAGUCAACAUCAAUUUCUUUUGUUGUAAAAGGGUCAUUGGAAGGUGGCUUCCAUUUCGGUGAAAGUGUUUAUAGCCUUUUGACUCUGCAAUCGGAGAGAUUGAGGUCUGCAGCGUAGAUCCUUCGGGGUUAGAUACAUUGGUGCUAAGCUAUAGCCUUGUAUAGACAACUUGUUGACUAUGCUCAGUCAUGUAGCUUACUCGCUGAUGCUAUUUUACCUACGCUUAGGAUGUUGACAGCAGUAUAGACUGU